GCUGGGCGCAGUGGCGCACGCCUGUCAUCCCAGCAGUCUGGGAGGCUGAGGCAGGAGGAUCUCAAAAAGCCAGCCUCAGCAAAAGCGAGGUGCUAAGCAACUCAGUGAGACCCUGUCUCUC
rnacentral:sRNA from 1 species